rnacentral:rRNA from 1 species
UACGGAGGGUGCAAGCGUUAUCCGGAAUCACUGGGCGUAAAGAGCUCGUAGGCGGCUCAGCAAGUCGGCUGUGAAAUCCCGAGGCUCAACCUCGGAACUGCAGUCGAUACUGCUGUGGCUAGAGUCUGGUAGAGGAGAGUGGAAUUCCCGGUGUAGCGGUGAAAUGCGCAGAUAUCGGGAGGAACACCAGUAGCGAAGGCGGCUCUCUGGGCCAGUACUGACGCUGAGGAGCGAAAGCGUGGGGAGCAAACA